ACUUUUAUAGGAUAAAAGCAAUCCAUUGAUCUUAGGCAUGUUAAACCUGGUGCAACUCCAGAUAAAAGUA
rnacentral:tRNA from 1 species